rnacentral:rRNA from 1 species
UACGGGGGGGGCAAGCGUUGUUCGGAAUUACUGGGCGUAAAGGGCGCGUAGGCGGAUAGUUAAGUUGGGGGUGAAAGCCCGGGGCUCAACCUCGGAAUUGCCUUCAAUACUGGCUAUCUUGAGUACGGGAGAGGUGUGUGGAACUCCGAGUGUAGAGGUGAAAUUCGUAGAUAUUCGGAAGAGCACCAGUGGCGAAGGCGACACACUGGCCCGUUACUGACGCUGAGGCGCGAAAGCGUGGGGAGCAAACAGG